rnacentral:rRNA from 1 species
AGACCCGAAACCCGGUGAUCUAGCCAUGGGCAGGUUGAAGGUUGGGUAACACUAACUGGAGGACCGAACCGACUAAUGUUGAAAAAUUAGCGGAUGACCUGUGGCUGGGGGUGAAAGGCCAAUCAAACCGGGAGAUAGCUGGUUCUCCCCGAAAGCUAUUUAGGUAGCGCCUCGUGAAUUCAUCUCCGGGGGUAGAGCACUGUUUCGGCUAGGGGGCCAUCCCGGCUUACCAACCCGAUGCAAACUGCGAAUACCGGAGAAUGUUAUCACGGGAGACACACGGCGGGUGCUAACGUCCGUCGUGAAGAGGGAAACAACCCAGACCGCCAGCUAAGGUCCCAAAGUCAUGGUUAAGUGGGAAACGAUGUGGGAAGGCCCAGACAGCCAGGAUGUUGGCUUAG